rnacentral:RNase_P_RNA from 1 species
GUUUUCGGGUAAUCGCGGUCUGACUUGAACAGGCUGAGGAAAGUCCAUGCUCGCACAGGCUGUGAUGCCUGUAGUGUUCGUGCUUAGCGAAAAAAUAAGCUAAGGGACUCUUUUUAGAGUAACGGCAGGAAAACAAGCUAAGGCUUAGCUAUGCUUAAGUAUCCUUGAAAGUGCCACAGUGACGAAGCAAAUAAGGAAACUUAUUUGGUGGAACGCGGUAAACCCCUCGAGCGAGCAACCCAAACAAUGGUAGGGGCACUUUUUGUUAGAAAUAAAGAACAAGACAAAAAGGCAGAUUAACUGCAGAUAGAUGGUUACCACGCUGCUUUUUCUCCCUGGAAAGGCAGCGUACAGAACAUGGCUUAUAGAA